CCAGACGGCUGGACGGUCGCUGCCUUGCUUUGCAAGGGGGAGGAAAGUCCGGGCUCCACGGAAGAACGGUGCCGGUUAACGACCGGCGAGGGUGACCUUAGGGAAAGUGCCACAGAAAACAGACCGCCUUCCGGGUUCUGCCCCGUGGGAAACCGUGGGACAGCACUGAAGGUAAGGGUGAAACGGUGCGGUAAGAGCGCACCGCUCCUCCGGUAACGGAGGAGGCACGGUAAACCCCACCGGGAGCAAGACCGAAUAGGAGCGGCAGAAACCCGCAAGGGUUUCAGGGGUUCUUUCGCCCCGUCGCUCGGGUUGGUUGCGUGAGGCCCGCUGCAAGGCGGGUCCCAGAGGAAUGACCGUCCACGCCCCUUUUUGGGGCCGGACAGAACCCGGCUUACAGGCCGUCUGGCAUC
rnacentral:RNase_P_RNA from 1 species